CCCAAAUAGCACAGGAUAUCUUAUGGACAUACAUUUUAAGUCCAAUUAAUGUCCAUACGUCCAAGGAUCCGAAUGGAACUUAAAUUGGAUGUCCGUUUUUGGACAUAAAUUUGAUAUCUAACAAGUACAUCCUAUGGACAUUUGAUGUACAUCCAAGUUUAAAAUCUAGAGAAGUAGUUCGGUCUAUCUUAGCGAUGAUAACUUCCUACAGUUGCAAAAUAAAUAUUCUGCUGAACGUGUGGUGAACGUUAUUGGGAUUUGGGAUUAUUAAGAUAUAUGCAGUAGUCUGUCUUCGACCAUCGUUGUGGUCGUAAUAUAUGUAUAUGGCUCCUACACACAGAGGAUGCAGAAAUGCCGCAAAAAUUAUCACUUUAAAUUUGCCGCGCGCGGUAGCCAAUCAAUUUAUCGCUUUUCUAUAGAGCAAAAAAAUGAUUGGUUACUCAUCUUGCUGCGCGGGAAACGCGUCUUGUGUGUAGACUGUGCAAGAGGUUAUAUAGAUGCAAGUCGUCGUCGCAUAUACUUUUGUUUCCCGGUCUUCUAUUUCCUGUAUUUAUUACACGUGGUAGAGCUGUAUGGUAUAGCCGCGUAGACGGAUAAUCGGCAUAUAUUAGCUGCAAAUUUAUUAAGGUAAGAAAUGUUCAUAUAUCAUAAUAGUAUUUAAUCAUGUAAUUAUAUAUUAUUCACAAUUCACGUAUGUGUACUAAUGUAAAGUUUUUUUAAAUGAUAUUUGCUUCACAAAUUGAUUAAACUAUGUUUUCUAUAUACAUAAUAAUUCAAUUCGAUAAUAUAACCUCUCAAUAU